rnacentral:rRNA from 1 species
GACGAACGCUGGCGGCGUGCUUAACACAUGCAAGUCGAACGGUAAGGCUCCAGCUUGCUGGGGUACACGAGUGGCGAACGGGUGAGUAACACGUGGGUGACCUGCCCUGCACUUCGGGAUAAGCCUGGGAAACUGGGUCUAAUACCGGAUAGGACCGCACCGUGAGGGUGUGGUGGAAAGUUUUUUCGGUGUGGGAUGGGCCCGCGGCCUAUCAGCUUGUUGGUGGGGUAAUGGCCUACCAAGGCGGCGACGGGUAGCCGGCCUGAGAGGGUGGACGACCACAUUGGGACUGAGACACGGCCCAGACUCCUACGGGAGGCAGCAGUGGGGAAUAUUGCACAAUGGGCGGAAGCCUGAUGCAGCGACGCCGCGUGGGGGAUGACGGCCUUCGGGUUGUAAACUCCUUUCACCAUCGACGAAGGGUUUCUGACGGUAGAUGGAGAAGAAGCACCGGCUAACUACGUGCCAGCAGCCGCGGUAAUACGUAGGGUGCGAGCGUUGUCCGGAAUUACUGGGCGUAAAGAGCUCGUAGGUGGUUUGUCGCGUCGUCUGUGAAGUUCCGGGGCUUAACUCCGGGCGUGCAGGCGAUACGGGCAUAACUUGAGUACUGUAGGGGAGACUGGAAUUCCUGGUGUAGCGGUGAAAUGCGCAGAUAUCAGGAGGAACACCGGUGGCGAAGGCGGGUCUCUGGGCAGUAACUGACGCUGAGGAGCGAAAGCAUGGGGAGCGAACAGGAUUAGAUACCCUGGUAGUCCAUGCCGUAAACGGUGGGCGCUAGGUGUGGGUUUCCUUCCACGGGAUCCGUGCCGUAGCUAACGCAUUAAGCGCCCCGCCUGGGGAGUACGGCCGCAAGGCUAAAACUCAAAGGAAUUGACGGGGGCCCGCACAAGCGGCGGAGCAUGUGGAUUAAUUCGAUGCAACGCGAAGAACCUUACCUGGGCUUGACAUAUACAGGAUCGCGCCAGAGAUGGUGUUUCCCUUGUGGCUUGUAUACAGGUGGUGCAUGGUUGUCGUCAGCUCGUGUCGUGAGAUGUUGGGUUAAGUCCCGCAACGAGCGCAACCCUUGUCUUAUGUUGCCAGCACGUUGUGGUGGGGACUCGUAAGAAACUGCCGGGGUUAACUCGGAGGAAGGUGGGGAUGACGUCAAAUCAUCAUGCCCCUUAUGUCCAGGGCUUCACACAUGCUACAAUGGUCGGUACAGUGGGUUGCCAGUCCGUGAGGGCGAGCUAAUCCCGCAAAGCCGGUCUCAGUUCGGAUCGGGGUCUGCAACUCGACCCCGUGAAGUCGGAGUCGCUAGUAAUCGCAGAUCAGCAACGCUGCGGUGAAUACGUUCCCGGGCCU